GACGUAGGGCGCGAGCGUUUGUCCGGAUUUAUUGGGCGUAAAGAGCUCGUAGGCGGUCUGUCGCGUCUGCUGUGAAAUCCCGAGGCUCAACCUCGGGCUUGCAGUGGGUACGGGCAGGCUAGAGUGCGGUAGGGGAGACUGGAAUUCCUGGUGUAGCGGUGAAAUGCGCAGAUAUCAGGAGGAACACCAAUUGCGAAGGCAGCUCGCUGGGACGUUACUGACGCUGAGACGCGAAAGCGUGGGGAGCAAACAGG
rnacentral:rRNA from 1 species